rnacentral:rRNA from 1 species
GGAUUUCUAACCCGCAGCACUUAUCGUGCUGGGAGACAGUGUCAGGCGGGCAGUUUGACUGGGGCGGUCGCCUCCUAAAGUGUAACGGAGGCGCUCAAAGGUUCCCUCAGAAUGGUUGGAAAUCAUUUAUAGAGUGUAAAGGCAUAAGGGAGCUUGACUGCGAGACCUACAAGUCGAGCAGGGUCGAAAGACGGACUUAGUGAUCCGGUGGUUCCGCAUGGAAGGGCCAUCGCUCAACGGAUAAAAGCUACCCCG